rnacentral:rRNA from 1 species
AACGAACGCUGGCGGCAGGCUUAACACAUGCAAGUCGAACGCAUCGCAAGAUGAGUGGCAGACGGGUGAGUAACGCGUGGGAAUCUACCCUUUUCUACGGAAUAACGCAUGGAAACGUGUGCUAAUACCGUAUACGCCCGGAGACGGGGAAAGAUUUAUCGGAGAAGGAUGAGCCCGCGUUGGAUUAGCUAGUUGGUGGGGUAAAGGCCUACCAAGGCGACGAUCCAUAGCUGGUCUGAGAGAAUGACCAGCCACACUGGGACUGAGACACGGCCCAGACUCCUACGGGAGGCAGCAGUGGGGAAUCUUGGACAAUGGGCGCAAGCCUGAUCAAGCCAUGCCGCGUGAGUGACGAAGGCCUUAGGGUUGUAAAGCUCUUUUGCCGGGGACGAUAAUGACGGUACCCGGAGAAUAAGUCCCGGCUAACUUCGUGCCAGCAGCCGCCGUAAAAC